rnacentral:rRNA from 1 species
GACGAACGCUGGCGGCGUGCUUAACACAUGCAAGUCGAACGGUGAACGAGGGAGCUUGCUCCCUCCGGGUCAGUGGCGAACGGGUGAGUAACACGUGAGCAAUCUGCCCCGAACUCUGGGAUAAGCGUUGGAAACGACGUCUAAUACCGGAUACGACGCGGGAGGGCAUCCUCUCCGCGUGGAAAGAACUGCGGUUGGGGAUGGGCUCGCGGCUUAUCAGCUUGUUGGUGAGGUAACGGCUCACCAAGGCGACGACGGGUAGCCGGCCUGAGAGGGUGACCGGCCACACUGGGACUGAGACACGGCCCAGACUCCUACGGGAGGCAGCAGUGGGGAAUAUUGCACAAUGGGCGCAAGCCUGAUGCAGCAACGCCGCGUGAGGGACGACGGCCUUCGGGUUGUAAACCUCUUUUAGCAGGGACGAAGCGAAAGUGACGGUACCUGCAGAAGAAGCACCGGCUAACUACGUG